CCCACCUUUUUUCAGGAAAAAAAAUCUCUGAGACAAUUUACCUUUUUCAGAGGAAAACCUUCCUUGUGUGAAGAAAAAAAUCAAAACAAUUUUUAUAAAAAUCCCUUUUUUCCUGAGGUAACUUUGCCCUCACAAGGUCCCUCGUCGGUGCCAGGUUCUAGAGCCAGCCUUGCGCCCCCGGAUUUAAAGCCUUGGAGCAAAUACCCCUUAUCCUGAGGGGAAAAACCCACCUUUUCCAGGAAAAAACCCAUCCCAGAGGCAAUUUACCUUUUUCAGAGGAAAACCUUCCUUGUGUGAA